rnacentral:rRNA from 1 species
AUUGAACGCUGGCGGCAGGCUUAACACAUGCAAGUCGAGCGGAGAUGAGGUGCUUGCACCUUAUCUUAGCGGCGGACGGGUGAGUAAUGCUUAGGAAUCUGCCUAUUAGUGGGGGACAACAUUCCGAAAGGAAUGCUAAUACCGCAUACGUCCUACGGGAGAAAGCAGGGGAUCUUCGGACCUUGCGCUAAUAGAUGAGCCUAAGUCGGAUUAGCUAGUUGGUGGGGUAAAGGCCUACCAAGGCGACGAUCUGUAGCGGGUCUGGGAGGAGGAGCGGCCGCACUGGGACUGAGACACGGGCCAGCCUCCUACGGGGGGCAGCAGUGGGGAAUAUUGGACAAUGGGGGGUACCCUGAUCCAGCCAUGCCGCGUGUGUGAAGAAGGCCUUAUGGUUGUAAAGCACUUUAAGCGAGGAGGAGGCUACUGAGACUAAUACUCUUGGAUAGUGGACGUUACUCGCAGAAUAAGCACCGGCUAACUCUGUGCCAGCAGCCGCAGUAAGAC